UACGGAGGGGACUAGCGUUGUUCGGAAUUACCGGGCGUAAAGCGCACGUAGGCGGAUUUGUAAGUCAGGGGUGAAAUCCCGGGGCUCAACCGAGGAAGUGCAUUUGAAACUAAUUAGCUAGAGAGUGGUAGAGGAAGGUGGAAUUCCGUGUGUAGGAGGUAGUAAAUUCGUAGAUAUACGGAAGAAUACCGGUGGCGAAGGCGGCCUUCUGGACCAUUUCUGACGCUGAGACGCGAAAGCGUGGGGAGCAAACAGG
rnacentral:rRNA from 1 species